ensembl:lncRNA
AACUAAUGACCCCAAGGUUUGCAAGUGUGCUUAGUCACUUCAGUCGUGUCCGACUCUGUGCGACCCCAUGGACCGUAGCCCACCAGGUUCCUCUGUCCAUGGGAUUCUCCAGGCAAGAAUACUGGAGUGGGGUGCCGUGCCCGCCUCUGGGGGAUCUUCCCAACCCAGGGAUCGAACCCACAUCUCUUUCGUCUCCUGCAUUGGCAGGUUGCAUGCUUCCAGCAAGAUCCCUGGUGCCAAAGGAAGUCCACAGGCCGAGAAGGAAAGAGAAGCAAGCCCUUUAAGCUCUCUAGAAACAGCUCAGUGCAACUGCAGGCGAACUCAGAAGUGGGCCAAGGGGAUCCAGAGAUGGCCCCUGACACUGCCCAGUUGCCAUGCUGUGAGGAAGCCCAGACCACAGGCAGAGGUCAUGUAUAGGUGUUCCAGCUGACAGCCCCAGAUGAGGUCUCAGACGACACCCUGCAACCACUGUCUGAGGGGGCCAUGGAGUGAUGCCAACCCCCAGUCCUCAGGCCACCCCAGCUGACACCAAAGAGCUGUCCCUACCAAGCCCUGCUCAAAUCACGGAUUUUAUUGGAAAAAUAAAUACUGUGUUUAUU